UCAUCGUCGUCUUCCUCCAUUGCUAGAGAGAGAGAGAGAGAGGAGGGCCAUGGCGUCGUGUGGGGGCACGUGCGACUUCAACUGUGGCUCGAAGGAGGUGGAGGAGGAAACGCGGGAGAGGGUCGGACGCAUAUCCCUCGCCGCGGCCUCUGCCGCUGCGAACGCGGCGCGGUGCUCGAAGUGCGGCGAUGGGGACGCGCGGGAGGGUUGCAACGGGGCUUGCACUGCGUGCUUCCGCGCUUACCUCUUCGGCAAGUUUAAGCUUGCAGUCACCUCCAACGCCAUGAUCGCGCCCACCGAUAACCUUCUCGUCGCCUUCUCCGGGGGCCCCGCUUCUAGAGUAGCUCUACAGUUCAUUCAUGAGAUGCAGUCCAAACUAGUGAAGAGCUGGGAUGCUAGUAAUUCACAAGCUUUACCAGUUUUUGGUGUUGGUGUUGCUUUUAUUGACGAGAGCAUUUUCUCUCUCAAGCAAUCACACGAAAUUGAAAAGGCAAUUGAAAAUGUUCAGUUGAUUGUGUCAAGUAUUUCAUCUGUCUAUAAGGGGAUUCAUAUUAAACCUAUUGAGAACAUUUGUUCCUCGGAUUCAAAGGAUGGACGAAGCAGAUUGAGUGAGUUACUGGAUAUGAUUACUGAUAACACUGGGAAAGAAGAUUUUCUGCAAUAUUUGCGCAUGCUUUCUUUACAAAAGAUUGCUCUUGAAAAUGGAUAUAGCAAACUAAUAUUGGGAUCAUGCACUUCAGCAAUAGCGUGCCACGUAAUUUCUGCAACCGUGAAGGGUCAAGGUUAUUCUUUACCUGCUGAUGUGCACUAUGUUGACACGAGGUGGGAAGUCCCAGUGGUUCUUCCACUUCGCGACUGUCUUGCACAAGAGCUCAGCCUGCUCUGUCAUCUUGAUAGUUUGAAGACUCAGCAGCUGCUUGAUAGGCCUUCUGCUGGCAUUAAUGGUUUAGUUUCAUCAUUUGUUACUCGAUUGCGGGAAGAGAAUCCUUCUAGAGAGCGCACUAUAGUUAGAACAGCAGAAAAGCUUAAGCCUUUUUGUUUCAAUAAGUUUUCAGCAAACGGUUAUCACGAUUUCCUGCCAUCACGAUUACGACCCAAGUUCCAGAAUGCGGACAACAGUGAUUCUGUUUUAUCUGAGGUUCUUUGCCCGAUUUGUGGAAGUCCGCUCAGUGAAAUAGAACUCCACAAUAUGAGGAGUACUGAGGGCGAGGCUCGAACAAGAGCUGAAAUAUUUUUUACUCAUUGUUGUCAAAGCUGUUGUUUCCAGAUUUUACCAAAUGGGGCUGCUGCUUAUGAAAAGUUUUUUUCACUACUACCACAGUUGAUGAUGAGGAGAGUGAAGGACGGUAUGCUUGCCAACCGAAGUCAGUUGAGGUGAGCGAGAAGAAAUCAAAGAUUACCUGCUUGACGACCAAGAUGAUGAUACCUGACUCUAUAUUCAUGCACAGAAAAACCAAGAGGGAUAAAAGCAUGAGUUGGUCUUCGUGCUGCAAUACAGAUUAAGCAAUCCAACAUAUGCUCAUACUGUUGAUAUGUACACCCAGGAAUCUAUAGAACAAUCAGAUUCCUUCUGAGGAUUAAAGAUAAGAUGCUAGUUCCAGGGGCCUUUACAGCUAGAAGAAGGGAAACCCACGAGAGAGACACGGCAAAGCUAUCAGACAGCCCUGUGCCGGUCUUGAAGGUAAUUUUUCCACUAGAAGGGUCUGCGAUGUAUACUUCCACCACAGUGAGCCACAGCAGGAGCUCCUUCGUCUUUACCCCCGUUAUCUUCUUCAGCUUGCCCUUCUCCACAAAGGCCGUCACCUCGGUCGCAUACGACACCACCUGCUUUAUCUUCUUGAAGAGGGAACAGUCCCUUUGGGAGGUCGAGCUCUUCCAGCAUCUCGACGGUCUUCUUCUUGCAGACGGCAUCACCACGGACGACCUCGGCGCCUUGUCGGUAAGUCUCAAUGGUUUGCGAUGCCAUUUUUUUUGGCUGUUUUUUGUGUUAGAGGUAGAAGGGACUGGUAGAUUUAAGUUAAAGAAGAUAGAAGGCUAAGAGUAGUGGGUUGUGGGAGGUUUUGGGAGGAGAAGAGAGUAUUUAUAGAAAGAGUAGUAGCGUAUUAGCCAUGGCCAAAGGAAUGGUCUCAUAUUUUAGGUCAAAUUGUUGCUUUCAACUAAAUUCUUAGAUGGAGUUGGUCUUUGGUCACAUAUUAUAACCUGUUGAUGACUACUAUGUAUGCGUCUAACUAAGAAGGGGAAAAUCAAUAGAAAUGGUCAUAUAACGGUUUUCAUUCAUUAAUUAUUCGGAGAACAAAAACACAAGGGACAAACAUGGUCAAAGUAAACCGGCCGACAAACAAGGACGCAGAUGGGAGUAUUUAGUUUCAAUCAGGAAGGAGCAUUGGAACCAUCAAUUUGGGUUGUUUACGCUACUUGAUAACUUGGAUCCUCCGUCAAUAGGUAAUAGUUAUUGAAUAAUGAUUGUUGAUGAUAGAUUUGAACUUCCAUUUAAGAAAAAUUGACAAAUAAAUAUUGAAAAAAAAAAAGGAGGGGAAUUUUUCAUAUAUACUACUGGGGCACUGAAUUGAUGAUUUUUAGAUUUUGCAGUGUUUUUAUAGAAAAAUAAGGAGGUUUUGUAGUGUUUUGUGUACACACUCAUCUAUGUGGCCUUAUGCUCAUCCCAUCUUCUCCCCGUUAGAUGAUUUACUUGUUUGGUUUUUUUUCUUUUUGUUUGGUAUGUUUUGGGGAGGAUCCUCGUGGGCCACGUGGUACGCUCCUAACAAUCCUGUUGGAAGUGGGAGCCCAGCCCAGGCCCGCUUACCCUGGAACUGUCCCCCUUUUUUUUUUUUUUUUUUUUUUUUUUUUUUUUCUGGUCUCGUAGAAGUUUGUUAUUGACUAGGUAGAGUUCUAGAAGCUGUACUAGCUUGAAUUCCUUGGUCAUAAUUCAUGCCUGAGAAAUAAUCAGGCCCCAUAAACUAUCUUACCAAAGCCAAACCUUUUCCAAUCUGCCAUGCUGGGGCUAAUUAAGGCACGCUGGGAUGGGUCUGCUGUGCCGUCGUAGAUAACUAAUCAGAGCACUUAUAUUUACUAAUAACUAUGUUGCUGGUGCUAAAUAUAAAGCAAUGCGCUAAACAACAUACUUAUGUGGCAUGCAUGAAUUAUUUUGUUCAGUAUCGUUUUGUUUUUGUAAGGAUCAUGCAGUAAACGGAUAGUAUGGUGUAUGAUUAGUUGUGUAGAAUGAAAUGUUAUAUUCAGUCUCUAGAUCAUUCUUUUUAGAUAAGAUUAAUAUGUUUAUGCGUGAAAGCCAAGCACUUUGUAGGAGAUUUAGAAGACAAAUUUAGAUUGCCAUCAUAAAGGAAAAUUUAUGUGACGUUUGGGACAGUGUCGAAGGUCUUGAGUUGUAAAUAUACAGACACAUGGCAUCUCGAACCCAAGCCUUUAGAUUGCCGGUCAUGCUUCUUACUAUUUGGUACCGGGCAUCUUUUUCGGACACCCAACCUGUCUCCUUAUGCUUUGUUUGGAUGUAUGAAUAUAUUAUUCAUCAUAUAUUUUUUACAUAUUUAAAAAAUUUAUAGUAUUUAAUAGGUGAGAAGUAUGAUGCAGUGUUUACGAGGGUAUACCUAUAUUCGAUAUUCAAAUUAUUGUUAUAUUUUUUUGAAAUGAGAUAAAUCAAUCAGGUUGUGAGUGAAAUAGUUUUGAAACUAUCCAGUGUAGAGACUUAUUGUAGUGUCCCUCUCCUUGGUUUUUGAGGGAGCAUGGAAAAAAGCCUCUUUCCGUUUCGUGAAAGAAAGGCAAUUUGCGAGAAUCGGCGGGGACCAUAAAAA